rnacentral:misc_RNA from 1 species
GUAGGUGAACCUGCGGAAGGAUCAUUAACACUUUGAUUUUGUCAAUUUUUAUUUUUGACAAUCUUACUACCCACCUUUUGGAUGAACUUUAAUGGAUUUGGGGGUGUGUUGUGUUAUUUUUUAACAAAAUAGCAUUGCAUUUUUCCUAUCCACCUUUUUCUCUUUUAACAUUUUUAACCCCAAACACCAAUAUUGCUAUGCAUUGACUGAAAUGUAUUUGUUGCCUUCUUUUUUUAUUGAAAGAUAGCACAAAUCCAAACCAAAAAAAGCUAAGAAACAACUCUUAACAACGGAUAUCUUGGCUCUC